UACGUAGGGCGCAAGCGUUGUCCGGAAUUAUUGGGCGUAAAGGGCGCGUAGGCGGCGUGACAAGUCACUUGUGAAAUCUCUGGGCUUAACCCAGAACGGCCAAGUGAAACUGUUGUGCUAGAGUGCAGAAGGGGCAAUCGGAAUUCUCGGUGUAGCGGUGAAAUGCGUAGAUAUUGAGAGGAACACCAGAGGUGAAGACGGGUUGCUGGGCUGACACUGACGCUGAGGCGCGAAAGCCAGGGGAGCAAACGGG
rnacentral:rRNA from 1 species